AUUGAACGCUGGCGGCAGGCCUAACACAUGCAAGUCGAGCGGCAGCGGGAAAGUAGCUUGCUACUUUUGCCGGCGAGCGGCGGACGGGUGAGUAAUGCCUGGGAAAUUGCCCAGUCGAGGGGGAUAACAGUUGGAAACGACUGCUAAUACCGCAUACGCCCUACGGGGGAAAGCAGGGGACCUUCGGGCCUUGCGCGAGUGGAUAUGCCAAGGUGGGAUUAGCUAGUUGGUGAGGUAAUGGCUCACCAAGGCGACGAUCCCUAGCUGGUCUGAGAGGAGGAUCAGCCACACUGGAACUGAGACACGGUCCAGACUCCUACGGGAGGCAGCAGUGGGGAAUAUUGCACAAUGGGGGAAACCCUGAUGCAGCCAUGCCGCGUAUGUGAAGAAGGCCUUCGGGUUGUAAAGCACUUUCAGCGAGGAGGAAAGGUUGAUGCCUAAUACGUAUCAACUGUGACGUUACUCGCAGAAGAAGCACCGGCUAACUCCGUGCCAGCAGCCGCCGUAACAC
rnacentral:rRNA from 1 species